AAAUAAAAAACGCCUAAUUUUCCCAAUGGGGGGAAGCGGGGGAACCAUGUUAUUGGGGUGAACUACCUGUGGUAGCGGGCUAACUUUCAGUCCGAACCCGUCAGCUAACUCCGCAGGCGUAGAAAGUGGGGAAAU
rnacentral:sRNA from 2 species